GUUUCAUUCUCUCACCCAGGCUGGAGCACAGCGGCAUAUCAGGGAUUGUUCAUCCAUAUGGCUCCAAAUGAAAAUUACAUUAAUUAUGGAUGAAGAGUAUUGUGUUGUGCAGAUAUACUGCAGUUUCUUCAUCCCUUCAUCUAUGGAUGGACAGGUUUCUCCAUCUUGCUGGUAGUGAACUGAUGUCCGGAAGUUUGAUGGCCGAAGAGUAUACCGUUGUGCAUAUAUCCUUCAAUUCCUGAUUUUAUCAUCUGUAGAAAGACAAAAAUCUUCAGACUGAUUUCCACAGUUUGAGAUCUAGUUUGCAUUACCUCCAAGAGAAUAGCCAUGUUUGCUUUUCUCUGCUGCCACACCAGCAUGUUAUGUUUUGACUUAGGACAAAUGGCCACUCUGACCAGCGUGUGAUGGCACCGGUACCUCAUCUCUGAUGAUUGGUGAUGUUGAGCAUUCCCCACGCCUGUUGGAAUGGCAAUCCCUUGGAAAUGUCUUCUCAAUAGUUACUACCCAUAGGUAUGUUGCUCAGGCCACUGUGUGGCCCCAGCACUUGGUUUGCAUAGGGACUUGGGGAUUGUUUGUCAUCAUUAGCCGGGACAAAUGUUACACUGCUGUUCCUACAGUGAGUAGUGGGAGUGGCGUAUGGGGGCAUAUGCUUAUGUCCACAGUUCCAUCAGAAAUCCCACUGCCUUAAGACAGUCUUACGGAAACCGAGUCCCAGCCUUGCAGCACCGGGUAGCCCUGUGGCAUUUUGACAUUGAGUGUGUCUGCAUUGUUGAAGUCACUCAGCAUGUUGCCAUGCGUUUAUCCACUUAGGUCAACGUUAAGGGAAGUUCAUCGCCUCUGCUUCUUCAGUAACUGAUGUCUGGUGCAUCAACUGAAUGCAUUUCAGGCUUUUCAGCAGUUCCCCCAGAUCUAUGGGUAAAAAAAGGUUUUCACCAUGCCCACCUCCCCAGUGAGUGACCAAUGUCUCAUUGUUAAUGCAUCUGAUGCACAGAGUUUAGUGGUCUGAGGGAGGUCAGUCGCCAAGCGGAGAUUGAAAUCACAUUUGUAUUUACAUUAUUACUUUUCUACAGUUUGGUUUGUUGCAGGCUUUCACACUACUAAUCUGGGCUGAAUCCUUGAAUUACUUUGUCUACCAAGGGUUUCAAAGAACUUGAUAAACUUGUUCUAAUUAGCCAACAUAUUCAUCCAUGUUGUCCGUAUACCAGGUGUAAAAAUAAAACGUUUCUUAAUGCACACAGGACAUGGAAGGCAAUCUACACAUUUUCAGGUGUAGACUUUGCUUGUGACUCUUUUGUGAGGAAUAGUCAUUGUUAUUUUAGGAAAACCCUGAGUUUAUCCAACUCUUGUUAGAAUUGGAUAAGUGUAAAAACCUACAAUAGAAUGCAAGUGUGAGAGCCAAUUCCUCUGGUAAAAUAAACUCAUAUUAUUAUUUAUAUAUGUCUGGUCAUUGUAUUAAUAAAAUCAGUUUGUUUUGGCUGAAACACAUGGUUGGCCUUUACAAUAGAUGUGAAAAUGGGCUUAUAGAUCAUUGCUCUUUAUUGUGAAUAUUAGGUUGUAUUUAUUGCCAAACUCUUUCAACAGCUUCUAAGCAGUGAAUUUUCAGUGCAUUGUUGUUGUUCUCCAAGUACAAGCAGCCACUUCAGUUUUACCACAUUCAUCUUCCACACACUGAUGAACCAUAUGGAGGCAGCAGGAAUUGAAGUAGAACCAGAGGGAGUAGUUAGGACAGACAUUCUGAUUCAUUCAUUCUGAUUCUCACUAUUGUCAGUGAGUAAAGGUUCAUUGAAUUUUUCUUCUGAUGAAUAAAAUGGUCAGUUUUCUCAGUGCAAUGGCUUACUUUUGGAAGAGCAGCUCUAAAGACUUUACUAC
rnacentral:lncRNA from 1 species